rnacentral:misc_RNA from 1 species
AGUAACAGACAUUUGGGGUUUUAGUCGUUUGCAGAGACUCAAAAGCUUUAGACGGUUUGCAAGUGUUACAAGCUGCAAAAUUUAAUAAAAAUAAUAAUAAAAAAACGCUAAAAUACAAACCUACCUACCAAUAACAAAUAAAACAUAAAUACAGUUUCAAACACGAUAUUGCCAAAAAGGAAAACAAUAAAAAAGAAUUACUGGUUUAUGAGAAACUACAACAAGUUAUAUAAAAAAAAGAAAAAAACUAGAUAGAAAACAAUAGAUUUCUAGUGAGAAAGUUCGAUAGAAAAGUGUAUUUAUUGAAGUAAUUUAAGAAACUUGAAAUUAAGCAGCAGAAAUCAAACCGUCUAAACCUAUUGUGUUUAAGUUUUAUGGAGGAAACUUUUUAACAAGCCGAUUUGUAAUAAACGACUAGAGGAAAUCAUGAACGAAGAACCUGUAAAGAAUGGAAAAGAUAAUAAUCAUCAAUUGGAAUCAUCAACAUAUGAUCCUAAUGAGAUUGUUGAAGCAGAACCACUUUCUUGGAGAUUUUGGCGAAAACGUCGUUAUAUAGUCGUCUUGUUGGCAUUCUUUGGUUUCUUCAAUGUCUAUUCUUUGCGUGUCAAUUUAAGUGUGGCCAUUGUGGCUAUGACAGAGAAUCGUACUGUGAUCGAUGAAAAUGGCAAUGAAUCAUGGGAACAAGAUUUCCCUUGGGAUCCUAAGCAGAAGGGUCUGAUAUUAAGUUCCUUUUUCUAUGGUUAUAUAAUGACUCAGUUUAUUGGCGGUUUUAUAGGAGCUAAAAUUGGUGGUAAUUUGGUUUUCGGUAUUGGUAUUGGAACGACAGCCAUCUUGACACUAUUCACACCCAUGGCAGCUAAACACAGUUUGGAAAUGUUGCUGGCAGUGCGCAUUAUCGAAGGUAUCUUUGAGGGUGUUACCUUCCCCUGUAUACAUGCUGUAUGGUCACGCUGGUCACCACCACUUGAACGUUCUCGCAUGGCUUCCAUAGCUUUUGCUGGCAACUAUGCUGGUACUGUUAUUGCCAUGCCCUCGUCGGGACUCUUAGCUUCAGCCUACGGCUGGGAAAGUGUAUUUUAUGUAUUUGGUGUUAUUGGUUGCAUUUGGUUGGUGUUAUGGUUGGUUAUUGUACGUUCGGGACCCGAUAAGGAUCGUUUCUGUUCGGAAGAUGAACGUAAUUAUAUUCAGAAAACAAUUGGUAUUACUGGACAACAAAGAAUUAAACAUCCCUGGAAGGCCAUAUUUACUUCAUUGCCAUUCUAUGCCAUUGCCGUUUCACACUUUUCAGAAAAUUGGGGUUUCUAUACUUUAUUGACUCAAUUGCCAACAUUCCUUAAAGAUACCUUAAACUUUAAUUUGGAUAAAACUGGUUUUCUAUCAGCUGUGCCAUAUCUUACCAUGGGUAUAUUAUUGGGUGUUUCAGGCUAUUUAGCCGAUUGGUUGCAAGUCAAGGGUUAUUUGACCACCACACAAGUAAGACGUUACUUCAAUUGUGGUGCUUUCUUGGCUCAAACUGUUUUCAUGGUACUCACCGCCUAUUUAUUGGAUCCCACUUGGUCCGUGGUGUGUAUAACCAUAGCUGUAGGUUUGGGAGCUUUUGCCUGGUCUGGUUUUGCCGUUAACCACUUGGAUAUUGCUCCCCAACAUGCUAGUGUAUUGAUGGGCAUUGGCAAUACAUUUGCCACCAUACCCGGUAUUGUUAGUCCCAUGUUGACCGGUUAUUUGGUACAAAAUCAAACCAGUGAAGAAUGGAAGACUGUAUUCUUUAUUUCUGCUGGUAUUUAUUUAGUAGGCUGUGUUAUCUAUUGGAUGUGGGCCUCGGGUGAAUUACAAGAAUGGGCUAAAUCACCCGAACAAAAAGCUCUCGAAAUGACUAGACAAAAAGCCGUUACCGAGGGUUAUGUCAACGAAGCCUUAGAGUGCAAAGAUGAAGUUAAAGAAAAUCAUAGUUAAGUUUAAACAUCCACACACACACCAGUAGUUUUAGGUUUUUAAAGAAUUUCCUUUUGUAAUAUAUACAAAAAAACGAUAUAUCACACGAUAAACAAAAAAGUAUUGUAAAUAAUCAUUUUAUAUAUUUUAUUAUAAGAAUAUAAUUUAAAAUAGAAUUUAUUUGUUUUAAAUUCUUAAUAUAAUAUUCAUUCAACACACUUUUGUUGUUUUUCACACUUCGUCCGCUUUAGAGAGGUCAAUACACUGUGCACAAAUAUUUGCAAGCAAAUAAUCAUUUAGCCAUAUAAUAAAAAGAAAAAAUUUUUAAGAAAGAAAAAAAUCUCUGCAAAUUGCAUUCGCAAUGUUUUGAAUCAUCAAAAGAAAUAAUCAAAUCGUAAAAAGAAAGCAGUGAAAAACCAAAAAUAAUUUCAAUUAAAUGGGCAGAGGAAAAAUGUGUAGGUAGAGAUAAACAAAAUAUAAAUUUUUUGUUCAAAAUUUGUUUACCAUAAAAUUUGAAGUGUAAUUUUGUGCUAAGGUGGAAUUUUAAAUGACCCUUUAAACAUCAUUCUAGAAAGAACUCUUUAAAUUAACCCACAAACCGAAGAUACAUAUGUUGUACAAUAUGGCUUAAUUACGAUAUUGUAAUGGGUUUUAAAUACGAAAGCAUAUUUGAUUUCGUAUGACUGAAAUAAAUCCAGAAUUAAGUUCACAAUGGUUAAUCCCCAAACCGAGACUAUACAAAUUUACACAUUUCAGUCAGUCAAAUCGAGUAAAUAUAACAAACUUAGAGUGAGAUUAAACUAAAACCUAGCAGAAACCCACUGGUCCAAAAGUUCGUUGGAGGAGAGCGAUCGUUGAAAUGAAAAUCAGUUUCGCUUCUUACUAUAAAUUUCCUACAUAUGUCAACCAAAAUAAGCAGUUUAAGUAUUCAGUUCCUAAUAACAUCAUAUAUUAAAUUAGACAGACUACAGACGCGAAAGCUUUAUUUCAAAGUCGACAUAUUGGACUUCCAGAUGUCAUGCCAAAUUUUAUAAAUAAAGGUAUUUUCGUGAAUUAUAAUAUAGCCAAAAUCGGGUUAUUUUCAAAUCUUAGGACACAAUAUCUUGAAAUACUGAAAUACAUUUCAAUGAUCAAUCUAUGAUUAUUCGAAUAAAUCACAAACAUAAAAUUAUCUAUCAUUAGCGUAUAAUCAUGAUGACAGUUAUUACAGGAUAUCCCGCAGCGAAGUUAAAAAUUUUACUUUUUUCGGUUUAUCCUUAUAAUUUUAAACGAGUUUGAUUUCUUUUUACAAUAAUAACAAUUGGAAAUUCGUUAAAAAAUUUAGUGAAAUAUUUUGCAAUAAAUUCGUGAUUUUAGGUUAAUGUGUUUUUUUUUACUUUUAACAAUAUUUGUUCUUCAUACAUCAUGAUACAUAAAACCUAUUUGCUAAUAUGAAACUUUGUAAGCAAUAAGAUCCUCACAAGGACAUUUCUCAUAGUUCCAAUUCACUGUCGGUAUCGUAUUGUUGUAUCAUCAUAUGUUAUUAAUAUUUCGCAGACAAAGUUUUUUGACAUAAAAACAAUAAAAAAUAAAAUAGUGAAAACUUACGACAUACAACGUUACGGCAGUGAUUGUAUAAUAUUUUGAAUUCAUGGGAAUGUAAAAAUAACAAACAAAACUUGAAUUCAAUCCGAAAUAUUUUACUGCGUUUUUAGCGAAUUCACUGUUUUAACCGAAAAAUUGUAUUAUUGGUUUGUGUUGGUAGUACUUUAUGGAAAAACUCUAAUAAAUUUAGCACAAAGUUUUGUUAUCAGAAUAAAACAAUCUAGGCAAUCUAGUAUUACUGCAAUAACUGUCAUCAUGACUAUGCUUUUUAGAAAGAUAAUUUUAUGUAGAUUUCCAUGUUGUUAAAAAAAAACUUUGGAAUUUAAUUCCAGUUCUGCAAAAUUUCGUAAAAAUUUCAAAAAAGUGGCGUAAACAUUGUCUGUACAAAAAUAAUGCAAUAUCUCAAAAACUAGAGCUAACCGAAAAUUGUUAUAAAGAUAGGAAUUAGCUUAUUUUAUUUAAAAGUCAAGCAAAAAUUCGAUUUUGUUGACCUGUACAUUUUAUUAAAAUAUCCACUCACCCUUUUAAACUCUGUUGUUAUUUUGACAAUGCAUCGUUGAUAUUUUGAAAACGUAUCGUUGUUAUUACAACAACGGAUUGUUGUUAUUUUGCAAAUGCAUCAUUUUGAUUUCGACAACGCAUCCUUCUGUUUAGAAACACAUCGAUUUCAAACCGAAAUGAUACUCCAUUUAAAUAAAUAUUAAAAUCAUGAACGAUCGAUUUGACAACGUCAUAUGUAACUUAUUAUUUUUAGUUGAUUAAAUAACUAUUCGCACAUCUUUAGGCAACGGAUGUUAUUAAAUAUUUAUAAACAAUUUGGUGUGGAUUUGUCACAAAGCGUGUUUAUAAUUUAAAACAGGAGCGAUGUAAAAUAUAGAAUUUAUCAAGGCAAUCUGAAUAUUCGAGAAAUGUGCGAAAUAGGUUUUCAUUAGAAAAAUAUUUCUAUUGUCCUUCAUUAAAAUUCUUUUCAAAUAAAAUUAAGUAGAAUUUAUAGAGAUUGUGUUGGUCAAUUGACCUAAUUAUAUAAAUUCCAUUCAUAAAAUCUAAUUCAGUGUGUCACAUUUCUUGAAGCAAAAAUCCAAAUGAAAAAAUUAGAAUAAUAACAUAUUGAGUUAAUAGAAAACAAUAAGGGUAGAAACGAAUUAAAUGAACACUAUAGACCCUAAAACCAAUAGGGAAAUUUUUCGCUGUACUUUAUUUAAAAGGCGCAAAUUCUGACAAAAGGGGCCACGUGUUCGUUUAUUUGUUUAUUUACCUUACGUACAAAGUAAAAAUAAACAAAAGGUAAAUUGUUUACUUUGAAUGUUGAAAAUGUUUUCAAAAAAAAAAAAAAUAUUCCAAAUAUUUAAUUUUAACAAGUAUUUUCUUAAAACCCACAACAAAUUACAAAAUAAAAUCACAUUUUUUUAAUUAAAAAAAAUAUUUUUAAAUGAAAUAUUUUGCGAAUCUUGUUCAUUUGUUCAUUGACUCACUAUAGUUUUCAUCAAAGGAAUUUUUAUGAAUGUGAAAACAUAUGGGAAUUUACAAAAACAACAAAAAGAAAAACAAUAACACUAAAAUAAUAAUAACAACAACCAAAAUAAAAACUACAACAGCAAAGAAAACGUCAGCAGCAAUUUUCACAACAGCAACAAGAAAAAUUUUAAUGAAAUGAAAAGCAUUGCUCUGCGACUGCUCUCCGCUUAUUGUAAACACAAUAUUGGAAUUUCUAUAAUUUUGGCAAAAAGCCAAGAAUAAUUUUAAUUGAAAUUAAUAGUCAAAUUCUUAAGAUUCUUAAGGUGUAUAAACAUAUUUUUAAACAUUAUUUACAGAAUGUUCUUUUUUAUUUUUUUUUUUUAUUUUUUGCGUUUUUCUUUUAAUAUCUUUAUUUUUGGCCAAAUCACAAAAGAAUAUUGACUGGCAGAUUGAGUGGGGAAAUUAGUGAAUGUUUGUUUAUAGAUUGGGUGUUAUGGUCCUUUUCCAAUCUCCUCACGAACUUAUUCUAGCCUCAUAUGAGGAUACGCUACUUCCAACUAAUAGCGUCAACUUUCAUUGUGAACGGACGUGUUAUCAAGAGUUCUCUAGAAAAUCGCAGUUUUUAGUGGUUUCAAGUGAAGUGUUAAAUAUAAAAAAUUUACCAAUAAAACA